rnacentral:lncRNA from 7 species
UUUUUUUUAUCUAGGACUAAGUAUAAACAGCUAUUUUUUAAGGCUCUUUUUUUAUGCUCAUAUAAAGGAAUAUACAGAGAUGAAGCCGAAAGUACUAGCUUUUUAUUGCUUUCUCCCUCAUUUUCCUUUCUCAUGCAUGCCCAUAUUACCAACCUGUAGCACUUUAUCUGUUUAUGGAAGAUUGCCGUGACAAGGUUUGUUGCUUUGCUUACCCCAAUCCCAAACCAAGCAUCGUCCUCUUCAUAGGUAGUAGCGUAGGACCAAAGAGUAGAGUUAGUAUUUUAUAUCUCACCUGCACAAGAUUGUCGUUUGCCUUGGUAAACGGUAGAACGAAACAAGUGGAGGUGACCAGUCAAUCAUAUCCAGUUCAUGGCGUCUGAGCGUUGCUGACAUUUGUAUAGUUUAUGCAGUACAGCCAGUUAUAUAUUGUUAGCUUUCGAAAUAAAAAAUGGAAAACCUGAGUUAUCCAAAGUUGUAUAAAAGCAUAAAAUCUAUAAUCUGAAUAUCUGCAUU